UACGAAGGGGGGCUAGCGUUGUUCGGAAUUACUGGGCGUAAAGCGCACGUAGGCGGAUAUUUAAGUCAGGGGUGAAAUCCCAGAGCUCAACUCUGGAACUGCCUUUGAUACUGGGUAUCUCGAGUAUGGAAGAGGUGAGUGGAAUUCCGAGUGUAGAGGUGAAAUUCGUAGAUAUUCGGAGGAACACCAGUGGCGAAGGCGGCUCACUGGUCCAUUACUGACGCUGAGGUGCGAAAGGCGUGGGGAGCAAACAGG
rnacentral:rRNA from 1 species